GACGAACCGUGCGAACGUUAUUCGGAAUCACUGGGCUUAAAGCGCGUGUAGGCGGGAGGGCACGUCCGUCGCUGAAAUCCCCCGGCUUAACCGGGGAACGGGCGCGAUACGACCGUCCUGGAGGGGCGUAGGGGGACCUGGAACUUCCGGUGGAGCGGUGAAAUGCGUUGAUAUCGGAAGGAACGCCGGUGGCGAAAGCGACGGACUGGAUCUCUUCUGACGCUGAGGCGCGAAAGCCAGGGGAGCAAAGCGGG
rnacentral:rRNA from 1 species